CGGUGUUCAACUGGCGUGUCCGCGGGACGUCCUGCCGGUGGGCUUAGCCCGCAAGGGCGGCCCAACUUCAAAUCCCAUCGCGGUGCUCUUCACUGAGUGUCGAGGUGGGCCGGCACGUUUACUUUGAACAAAUUAGAGUGCUUAAAGCAGGCUAAAACUUCGCCUGAAUACUGUGUGCAUGGAAUAAUGGAAUAGGACCUCGGUUCUAUUUUGUUGGUUUUCGGAACCCCGAGGUAAUGAUUAAUAGGAACGGAUGGGGGCAUUCGUAUUGCGACGUUAGAGGUGAAAUUCUUGGAUCGUCGCAAGACGGACAGAAGCGAAAGCAUUUGCCAAAAACGCUUUCAUUGAUCAAGAACGAAAGUUAGAGGUUCGAAGGCGAUCAGAUACCGCCCUAGUUCUAACCAUAAACGAUGCCAGCUAGCGAUCCGUCGACGUUCCUCCGAUGACUCGACGGGCAGCUUCCGGGAAACCAAAGCUUUUGGGUUCCGGGGGAAGUAUGGUUGCAAAGCUGAAACUUAAAGGAAUUGACGGAAGGGCACCACCAGGAGUGGAGCCUGCGGCUUAAUUUGACUCAACACGGGAAACCUCACCAGGCCCGGACACCGGAAGGAUUGACAGAUUGAGAGCUCUUUCUUGAUUCGGUGGGUGGUGGUGCGUGGCCGUUCUUAGUUGGUGGAGCGAUUUGUCUGGUUAAUUCCGAUAACGAACGAGACUCUAGCCUGCUAACUAGGCGUAUUUUCGACAUCUCAAAGGUCCGUCGUCCCGGCCCUCGGGUCGUGGGCGUGCGCGAUUUUUACUGUCGGCGUACUAUCAAUUCUUCUUAGAGGGACAGGUGGCUUCUAGCCGCACGAGAUUGAGCAAUAACAGGUCUGUGAUG
rnacentral:rRNA from 1 species